rnacentral:rRNA from 1 species
GAUGAACGCUAGCGGCAGGCCUAAUACAUGCAAGUCGAACGGUGUCUUCGGACAUAGUGGCGCACGGGUGCGUAACACGUAUGCAACCUACCUUACAUUGGGGGAUAGCCUUUCGAAAGGGAGAUUAAUACCGCAUAAGACAGUAGCUGGGCAUCCAGCAGCUGUUAAAGAUUUAUCGAUGUAAGAUGGGCAUGCGUCCAAUUAGUUAGUUGGCGAGGUAACGGCUCACCAAGACUUUGAUUGGUAGGGGAACUGAGAGGUCAAUCCCCCACAUUGGCACUGAGAUACGGGCCAGACUCCUACGGGAGGCAGCGGUAGGGAAUAUUGGGCAAUGGACGCAAGUCUGACCCAGCCAUGCCGCGUGCAGGAUGAAGGCGUUAUGCGUUGUAAACUGCUUUUAUACAGGAAGAAACGACUCUUGCGAGAGGCAUUGACGGUACUGUAUGAAUAAGCACCGGCUAACUCCGUGCCAGCCGCCGCGGUAAGAC